rnacentral:tRNA from 1 species
CAGAUCAUUCUUAAAAGUUAAGAUUUUCAUUUACACUGAAUUAUAGAUCGUGCAAUUCGAUAUGAUUUGA